UGUUAAAGUCAGAGCCCUCAAACAAAACAAAUCAGCUGUGCUGCAGAAGCCCCUGAAGGCACACUUUGCAAAUAAGAAAGGAAACCUGACUUGCUGUUAAAGUCAGAGUCCUCCAACAAAACAAAUCAACUGUGCUGCAGAAGCCCCUGAUGUCACACUUUGCAAUAAGAAAGGAAACCUGGAAAAUGUGCAAAUGUCAAGGUUACCUGGGUCUGCUGGUCACUUCUAGUUUUGGA